CACGCCCUAAACGAUGUCAACUAGGUGUUGGGGAAGGAGACUUUCUUAGUACCGCAGCUAACGCGUGAAGUUGACCGCCUGGGGAGUACGGUCGCAAGAUUAAAACUCAAAGGAAUUGACGGGGACCCGCACAAGCGGUGGAUGAUGUGGAUUAAUUCGAUGCAACGCGAAAAACCUUACCUACCCUUGACAUGCCAGGAAUCCCUGAGAGAUCAGGGGGUGCCCGAAAGGGAACCUGGACACAGGUGC
rnacentral:rRNA from 1 species